UACGUAGGAGACGAGCGUUGUCCGGAGUUACUGGGCGUAAAGGGUGCGCAGGUGGCGGCGCGCGUGGGGGGUGAAAUCGCCCGGCUUAACUGGGCGGGGGCCUUCCAGACGGCGUGGCUUGAGCAGCGGAGGGGGACGUGGAAUUCCGGGUGGAGCGGUGAAAUGCGUAGAUAUCGGAAGGAACAUCAGUGGCGAAAGCGACUUCCUGGACCAGUACCGACGUUCAGGCACGAAAGCGUGGGGAGCAAACAGG
rnacentral:rRNA from 1 species